CGCGGUGGUCCCACCUGACCCCAUGCCGAACUCAGAAGUGAAACGCCGUAGCGCCGAUGGUAGUGUGGGGUCUCCCCAUGCGAGAGUAGGACACUGCCAGGC
rnacentral:rRNA from 2 species